AUCAUCCUAAGCAAAGUUUGCACACUAGGGUCGCCCAUAUCGCCUUGCUUGCUGGUUGGACCAGACGGCUUGAUGGUUGAAACGUCUGAAUAGAUAGCUGGAUCGUCUGUCUCGUCCUGAUCGAUGGUUGAGCUGAUCAGGAUCACAUCACACUUCCUCGAUCGAGACAAUUCCUCCACCAGAAGUUCAAUGAAAUUUGAGCUCAAUUCAAGAUAAAACACCAACCAACCUUCAACAACAACCGCCAAUGAGUAAGGAAAAGAAGACCGAGAAUCCAAAUCACCAUUGACCCGCCCGAGAAACACCUCUCCAGCUCGAUGGAAU
rnacentral:lncRNA from 1 species